rnacentral:rRNA from 1 species
UACGUAUGGGGCAAGCGUUAUCCGGAUUUACUGGGUGUAAAGGGGGCGCAGACGGCGAUGCAAGCCAGGAGUGAAAGCCCGGGGCCCAACCCCGGGACUGCUCUUGGAACUGCGUGGCUGGAGUGCAGGAGGGGCAGGCGGAAUUCCUGGUGUAGCGGUGAAAUGCGUAGAUAUCAGGAGGAACACCGGUGGCGAAGGCGGCCUGCUGGACUGCAACUGACGUUGAGGCCCGAGAGCGUGGGGAGCAAACAGG